GCGCUCGCUUUGGCAGUAUAUAUCUUAAAAUUGGAAUGAUCCAGAGAAGAUCAGCAUGGCCCCUGAACAAGGAUGACUUGCAAAUUCAUGAAGCAUUCUGUAUUUUA